rnacentral:rRNA from 1 species
GGGUUGUAUUUAUUAGAUAAAGAACCAAUAUUUUUGGUGACUCAUAAUAACUUUACGGAUCACAUUAUGUGACAUAUCAUUCAAGUUUCUGACCUAUCAGCUUUAGACGGUAGGGUAUUGGCCUACCGUGGCUAUGACGGGUAACGGGGAAUUAGGGUUCGAUUCCGGAGAGGGAGCCUGAGAAACGGCUACCACAUCUAAGGAAGGCAGCAGGCGCGCAAAUUACCCAAUCCUAAUACAGGGAGGUAGUGACAAGAAAUAACAAUACAGAACCUUACGGUUUUGUAAUUGGAAUGAGUUAAGUAUAAACCCCUUAACAAGUAUCAAUUGGAGGGCAAGUCUGGUGCCAGCAGCCGCGGUAAUUCCAGCUCCAAUAGCGUAUAUUAAAGUUGUUGCAGUUAAAAAGCUCGUAGUUAAUCUUCUGUUAAUUUUUAUAUAUAAUAUUUCGAUAUUUAUAUAAUAUUAACAUAAUUCAUAUUACUUUUUAGUAUAUGAAACUUUACUUUGAGAAAAUUAGAGUGCUUAAAGCAGGCUAUUGCCUUGAAUACUCCAGCAUGGAAUAAUAUUAAGGAUUUUUAUUCUUCUUAUUGGUUCUAGAAUAAAAAUGAUGAUUAAUAGGAACAGUUGGGGGCAUUUGUAUUUAACAGUCAGAGGUGAAAUUCUUAGAUUUGUUAAAGACAAACUACUGCGAAAGCAUUUGCCAAGGAUGUUUUCAUUAAUCAAGAACGAAAGUUAGGGGAUCGAAGACGAUCAGAUACCGUCGUAGUCUUAACCAUAAACUAUGCCAACUAGAGAUUGGAGGUUGUUCCUUA